GUUAUCUUCCGUGUUUUAAUUUUUCAGGCGUACGACUUCGAUAAUGUAGGAAAAUUGCAUGCCAGACUUGGUAGAUCGGUGAAAAUAGGUGACACCUGACCAGCAUUAUGAUGAUUCUCAAUGGUGACUAAAUCAGGAACAUGAACUGUGAGCAGUAAUUGAUGAACCAUGUAUGCCGAGUGGUCCUUGCAGUGAGCCAUAUUUAUAAGUAGGGAACCAUGUAUGCUGAGUGGGCCUCACUUCAAAAUGACAUCCAGUGUGACAAGGCCAACCAGAGUGUCCUACACAAGUUCCCUCCCCUUGUCGGCCGAGAUGUGGCCUUUACGGUGGUCAAGCACAUCGCGUCCAGUAUCAAUCACGCAGCCAAUAACUCGGAACCCUCAAACCUCAACACUGACAAAGAUGUUAAGUGGGCAAUGGAGGUGCUGUGUUUUGGGCUGAGCCUACCACUGGCAGAGCAUGAGACGAUCAAGGAGUGUGUUCUUGUGUACUUUGAGUGGUUGUCCGCGUGCACUUCACCUAAAGUAUGCGUUCCGCGGCCUGUGAAGGAAAAUCCAAACCCAUACGCUCAGGACAUGAUACACCACUUACUGAACUUGUUUGUGCCACGUCCUGGCUCAGGAGUGGACUUAGUAAAGAGACAGGCACUGCUCUGUCACCGAGUUCUCCGGUGUAUAGAAGAUGUCGCAGAAAAGUCGAACGUGUUGACGAGGGACACCUGGGAAACGUUGCUGAGGUUUCUCCUGGCGGCCAACGACAGUUUACUGUCUCCGCCCACGGAAAAAGACGAUACAGGACUGAGCUCAUAUGAUAUUGGCGACCAUCUCUGUGAGCGAGUGCUCAGUGUACUGUUUGAAAUGUGGCUCCUGGCAUGUCACAAGUGUUUCCCAUCACCGUCGCUGUGGAAGACUUUCCGUAAUAUGUGUGUGAACUGGCGCCACCACGAAGCAUUGGUAACACAGUGGCACAAGGUCAACCAUAACCUGACGUCACGCCUCCUCAAGGUCAUGUACGGCCCUGAGUACCCAGAGCUCCAGCUGAACGAGACUGAGAGCCAGUUUAUCUCCCCUGAUAUGACAGAUGACUGUGUGGCUCAGUGUUGGUUCCGCUUCCUACACAUCAUACAGAACCCAGUCGACCUGUGUCACCCCGAGAUCAUCGGCGGCACCCCCAAGUUCUUACAGCUCCGCUCAGGGGAUGGCCUGGAUCCCAGCCAACACGAGUGUCUACAGAAACUGCCGUACAUUUUCUACAAGGCAAUGAGAGGAAUCUCCAUAUUAAUCAAUGCAUUUCUAGGUAUAUCUCAAUCACUGAAGGCAGAGGAAGAAUUGACCCAGCCUGCUCCAAGUAAUCGUCACUCAGUCAAUGUACCACCUGUCACCCCUCCGGGACAGAGAAAGUCCACACGCCCAAUGUCAGUACUGGCUGGAACUCUCUCACAAAAAGUAUCCUCAAAGUCAUCCUCAGUGGCUGCCAAAUCAACAGUGCCGCCUCCCACCAAUUUUCCUGGCCAGCUCCUUCUUGACUCUCGCCAGCCGCUGGCCCCGGCCCGUCCGCGCUGUAACAGUAUCUUACACAUGUAUGGGGCCUGGCUGUUUGAUGCUGCAUUGGCCCGAGUCCGACUACAGGCUUGUCACAGAGGACCCACCGUCAGCGCUCGUACAGAUCGAAGAACUAACUCCUUCACCGACACGAGACAAGGCUCCAUUUCCCUUGACUAUCAUUCGGAUCUGAGUCUGUUGGUGGACAACACCUAUGAGACUGGGCGUGCAGAGGCACUGGGCGCCCUCUGUAGGAUCUUUUGUGCACAUAAGACAGGGGAGGAAAUCCUUGCUGUUUACUACUCACGCUUUUACAACGCUAUGUACUAUGGCCUACAGACAUCUGAGGAUAGUCUGAGUGGUCAGGUGUUGGCCAGUAUCCUGUUUAACUCCUGUGACCUGUUACGUGUGGAUCUGGAUGGUGUACAGAUUUUGGUUCCAUACAUACUUGAUGCACUGCAGCUGAUCCUCAGUGACCAAUCCCCCAGACUCAAACUCAGCGACUCGACCGUGGACUGUCAUAACGUUGAGCUCCGGCGUUCCUGUAUACAGCUCCUACUGUCCCUUCUCUGUCUACCCCUACACUUCAAGGACCUGGAAAUCAACGACAUAGUGUCGAGUCCAGAUACCCCAACACAGUGUAUUACGUUUAUCUCACUGAAGAAGAAGAUCAUGGAACUAUUGCUGAAGGCUUUAUACAACGCCAAGGAUCCCACUAAUACUCAGAUGUUGUUAGGGGGCCUGAUGUUGAUUGUACAGGAUUUGGCCAUGUGUGAAGCUGCAGAUCAGACCACGGUCCAACCCCAGCAUGACACCUCCGGGGAUUCCGACUCACACGGAGAUACCAGCCGCACCAGCAUGAACUCCAUGUCAUCCGACUCCAGCUAUCACGAGUCGUCGUACCAUCGCCUGCCUCUCACCCCUCAGGAUCUCGAGACGGCGUAUGGUCUGUUUGGCGAUGCUACAGCACUGGUAUGCCACCGUUUGAUGGCCUCAUGGAAGACCGACCUGAACACGGCACUAGCGGCUAUGGAACUUCUCGGGGGCCUCGCCAAGGUCAACAUCAACCCACCUAAUCUGCUCAUGUGUAAGCGCACAGUCAAAUGGAUCUGUGAGUUUAUCGUGUAUCAGUGUAGCCGCCCCGCCCCCUCUCACUCACGUGACCUUCACUCCAUGAUCGUGGCAGCGUUUAAGUGCCUGACUCUGUGGCUUGUGGAGCACAGCCGUCUGAUGUACGACAAAGAGUGUCUCAUUAACGUCCUAGAGGUGGUCGAACUCGGCAUAUCAGGCUCAAAGUCACAGAAAGUGACAGGAGAGAAUCACAGUGUUUCCGUUAAGGAUUCAAAAACUGUGACGACACAGAAUCGGGCCAGUGAUCCCCCAAAAUUCAAGGGAGAUAAGCAGUUAAUGCCUGCAUCGAUGAGGGUAAAAGAUGCUGCCGAGUCAGUUCUCACCUGUAUUAUUCAACAUGUGGGAGCUUUCCCUCCUCCGUGUGGGCCUGAGUCUUUGUUCUCGUUAUUGGAUGAGAAAUCCCUCUUGAAGUACUGCAAGGGUGUGGGAUUUUCCGAGCAGGCGUCGCCUUUCCGAUAUUUUGUCCUGGAAAACUCCAUUAUUGUGGGAUUGCUGGAGCAACCGUUGGGAAAUGUGGAGGAUCCACUGCCCAACGUGACGGCCUUGAUACGAGGCCCAUUUGGGAGACAUGCUUGGACCAUGCAACUGCGGCAUUCUCCCCGAAAUAAAAACGUUAACUCCAAGUCACACCUGAGUGACCCUGGACGACCUCUGCCGAUGGAAAAUGUUGGAAUUCACCACAACGUCAAACAUCGGCACUUUCCGGAGUCUGUUGACAAGAUCCCAUUUUCUCAGGCUGAUAAGAGUAUCCCUACCCUGGAGUCGCUGGUGACGGAGAAGGAAAGAGCCAACCUGACCAAGCUCAAGUCCUUCAUUGAGAAACAGAUACAGUUCGAGAAUCAGAUCAACAGUCGCAGCAAACAGGAUCUCGCCAAGUCCAAGUUCCCCAACCCCGAAACAGAGUGUAAACCCCCAAAAGUGACCCAGGAGUUUCAGACAGCGAGACUGUUCCUAUCUCACUAUGGGUUCCUGUCUUUGGAGUCCCUCAAGGAACCUAAGAACAGCAGUAUUCCUCCCGCCCUUGUGAUGCUAGAUACAACCAACUCCGCGCUGUUCACUGACCUUGAAAGUCUCGACACGGUGACUGCUCGAGACAACGACACUGUUCAUGUGUUCUACGUCAAGUCUGGACAGAAACUGCCACAAGAAAUUCUGGGUAAUGUGACAUCCCGUAACAAUGUCCAGCCUCAGUUCCUGGAAUUCCUACACUCACUCGGCUGGCCGGUUGACAUCAGGAAACAUGCUGGCUGGACAGGACACAUCAGCACCAGCUGGAAAAUCACAGAACCAGACGACUUGGAUGAGGACGAGUUCCAGCUGGGGACGGGCGGCUCUAUUUACGACGGGAGACAGCAGGUUCUGUACUGGGCCGAUGUGUCCUCCGAGGUGGCCUUUGUUGUACCGUCCCUAGAGACUUACAAUACAAAGAUGUUGUCCGUCGACUCCAGUGGAGAGCGAUCCCCACUGUUUCCACACCACGUAGAGAAGCAGGGAUCAGAGCCAACACACAAGCCCAAGUCACUGUCCCUAGAACGCACCAUCACCUCCGAGGUUGGGGACAGAAUCCGGGCCGACAGAGAAAGUCCCAGCUCUCCACAGGAACCCCCAACGGUCCGCUUCCGUAACCAACGCAGACAACCAGCACAUAUGAUUGGACCUGACACAAAAAUGUUUGUCGUGUGGUUAGAAAAUUUUGAGGACCAUGACAAUUUUCCUUCAGGAGAGUUACUUGGGGUGACCAGUACAGGCGUGGAUCACUUUGUUACCACGAGCACCAGUAGCACAAGCUCUACACACAAACUUCAGGAGAAGGACACCUUUAUUAUAUUCAUACACGCUCUAAAGAAUGGACUGUUCCGUAUACACAUGCAAGGCCAAACUAACAGAGUGUCCAUGGCGAUACCUCUGGUGGAUGGGAUGGUGGUCAGUAGGAGAGUGCUCGGGACAAUGGUCAGACAAACGUGCAUUAACAUAUGUCGCAGGAAACGGCUCGAGAGUGAACUGUACCAGCCUCCCCAUGUGAGAAGAAAACACAGAAUUCAGGAAAUUGUGAAAAACUACCAUCUCAAAAUGUCUGAACCUGAAUUUUACACUGCAUUAUUUCAAGACGUACCGAAGUGAAGUUUGAGCCACAUCAUGUUGUAGACUUUUAGUUCAAUUUGUGGAAGUGAAUUAAUUGCAGUGAUGAAGGAUUUUAUAAUCACUUGACCAGCUAUGAAAGUUUACUAUGAUAAACCCAGUGUGCCAAAUUAUAGGACAAGCUUCCAAAUCAGGCUUGAUUUGAUGAGAAAAAUGAUUGAGAUUUAUUUAUGUGUUCUUUCAAGGUUAUUUUUGCUACAGUUGUUUUUAAUUCUGUCAAAAUUUAGAUACAAAACUAUACAAAGAUUUGUAUCGUAAUCUUGCCAGUCUUUAAAAAUAAUGGAAUUUUCUAUUUUAACAUCAGGAUAAUGAAGACUUAAAAUUACAGAUCAGAAAAGGAUAAAAUCAGAGUGAGAAUAUAUUGACUCGCCUCACAGUGAAGGUGCCAUCAAUACACUUCUUUUUAAAUAAUAUCCUUAACAGUGGCGCAAAGUUAGCCAUUCUAUUUUUUUGUCUAAGAAACAUUGUUAAAAGUCUGUGAAACAAUGUUUCCAUGGAAACAUGUAAACUAGGAUACAGUUUGAGUUGUGAAAAUUUCUGUCGUUUUCUAUUUCCCAUACACACACACAUACACACACCCAUACACACACACAUACACACACCCAUACACACACACAUACACACACCCAUACACACACACAUACACACGCCUAUAGGUCCAUGUAUACUUAGUAGUGAAGUCAUAUUUAUUUAUCAUUUAUCGUUUAAAGACUACUUAACUAUGUUAUUGUGAGCGAUCACCUGUUGUAAAUGUAUUUAUUAUUGAUGUUAUCAUUGUUAUUGAGAUUCUAGUCAAACCUUGAUGUACAACACUAACUGCACAAGCUGUAGGGGUGUACAUACUUUGUGUGACUGUCCGUGUUAACUGGUGAUGCUAAAAACCAAAGGAUACAAUUUUCACACUACAGAGCGAAGUAGAGUGUCGUACAAACUUAUGUACUCAGCUGUUUAUGUGAUCACGCUCUUCUCUGUGUGUACAAAUCAAAAAGUCGCUGGUGUUGUUCGGAGCAUGUUGCUCUAUACCGUUAUGUGUUUAAAGGGAGAUGCAUCAAAGUCUGCUAUUAUGAAAUUUCUGUUGAUGUCUUCCUUAAACUCCCAAAGGAAAUAUAUUGAUACUUUUUCUUCCGGAUGCAUUAUUAUUACUCUCCAAGAAGCACUGGAUACCUACAUUUGAGAGGAUAACUGGUCGCCUAAUGUAAAUUGGCAGUAAGCUGGUGUGUGUCUCCCUAGACCCAGCUCUGAUGUGUCUUACCAUUCUGUUCCCACAUAAAUAUAUGAUACAAUAUACCAGAACAUAAACAUUUUACUGAUAAAUUCUAAAUAAUUUGUGAUGAAAUUUGAUAAGAUUUGUCUUUCUUUAGGUUGUCAUUCAUUUCAGAUUCUGUUAGAAAGUUUCAAAAUCUAAUAUUUUAAAAAAAGAUAAAAAAAAAAAAGAUAAAAAAAUUUUCAUGUCUCCAAGGUUUCCAUGUGGGGAAAAUUUGAGGAAAAUGGUUAAAAUACAUGAUUUUGAAAGUAAAUUUUAAGGGUGAGGGGGUUUCUUGAGGCCCAAAAAAACCCUCUGGAUCUGCCACUGCUUGUAUGUAUCACUUUCAGAGUAUUUAUAACAAAGUCAUGAUCAGGGUUAAUAUUUUGUUCUUUGUGGUUCUGUGAGACAAGGUAAGGAAUGGAGAUAUGUACUGUUUGUUCUUUGUGGUUCUGUGAGACAAGGUAAGGAAUGGAGACAUGUACUGUUUGUUCUUUGUGGUUCUGUGAGACAAGGUAAGGAAUGGAGACAUGUACUGUUUGGUCUUGUUUAUAACCAUCUAAAAGACCACGGUUCUCAUCAGGAUAAAUACUUACUCAUUAUAAUUCUGAUCUGUAUUACAUGUAUCUCCCUUAAGGAUAUACGCUUCAUUACACUUUAAAGGCCAGUUUUGUGUUGGAGUUAUCUCCCUUAUAACAUAAUCAACUUUCAAUUUAUUUACCAAAUUAAAUAUUUCUAAGCUAAAAAAGAGUUUUGCCCAUUUUUUUCAACAUGAAACUCUAAUGAAGAUACAUAUCACAUUAAGGUGGCGUAUAUCCUUAAAGAAUGCAGUAGACCCUUCAGGCCUUUUGUGCAUAACAUAAUGUCUACAGAACCUCUGAUAACUUGUUUGAAUUAUUACUGCUUUAUCCAUGUAAAAUCGAUAGCAUUGCAUAAGUGUCAGAGUGAAAGCUAGUAUAAACUUAUUGAUCAAAAUCCUGUGAUUUCCUGGGAGCCAUUAUGUUAUAGGUUAUCUGAUACCGUAUGUAGUAACCCAGCAUAUAUCUCUACGUCUCUCGGCAACGUGUGUAAGGGGUUAGUCAGACUACAAUUACAAUGAAAGGUGUUUCUGAUCAACCAUAGCAGGAACCAGGAAGGAUGUUCGGACAGCACCUAUGUCUGCUGUCAACACUCAAGUGCUGUACCUGUUGGUGGUGUCUUCCAUCAAGACAAGAGAGGAUUCGAAAAGGAAACAUUUUAUUUCAGAAGAGAGAAUAACUGAUGUGAAAUACAUGCAUGUAAAUCAAAUAUAUCUAUCAAACCUUCA
rnacentral:misc_RNA from 1 species